UUCGCAGUUCACUCGCGUCCCUUCACGUGCUCGGAAGGGUUUCAGUAUAGUAAACUCCUUCAGAGCUGUGAAUCUACAUCGCUCACCAACGAGAAAAGUUAUUUAUUCGAUCGAAAACAAGAAGAAAUUUCAGAUAUUGUCGGAAGAAUUGUAUCAUGAAUUCAGUGAAAAUGCUGCACCUCCUAGAGUAGACCAGCUAGCGAACUAGAACGAGUUAGUAGUUUUCGUAUAGGGAAUACAUUACAUAAACUUUUGUCAUUUUCUGGAACGUAGAGUACUCUGUGUGUCGGGCAUUGUUUAUACG